rnacentral:miRNA from 1 species
UAUCCAGGACUAGGUCUGCAGA